rnacentral:rRNA from 1 species
UGACGGUACCCUUUCGAAUAAGAGGUUGCUAACUCUGUGCCAGCAGCAGCGGUAAUACAGAGACCUCGAGCGUUAUCCGGAUUUACUGGGCGUAAAGCGUCUGUAGGGGGUUUGUUAAGUUCCAAGUAAAAUCUUAAGGCUCAACUUUAAGUUCGCUUGGAAAACUAAUAAACUGGAGUCCAGCAGAGGUGCAUGGAACUUGCGGUGUAGGAGUGAAAUCCGUUGAUAUCGCAAGGAACACCAAAGGCGAAGGCAUUGCACUGGGCUGGUACUGACCCUGAGAGACGAAAGCGUGGGGAGCAAAACGGAUUAGAUACCCGUGUAGUCCACGCCGUAAACGAUGGAUACUAGAUGUUCGGGGAUUCGACCCCCUGGGUGUCACAGCUAACGCGUUAAGUAUCCCGCCUGGGAAGUACGGCCGCAAGGCUAAAACUCAAAGGAAUAGACGGGGAUCCGCACAAGCGGUGGAGCGUCUGGUUUAAUUUGAUAGUAAGCAAUGGACCUCACCAAGGUUUGACAUCCUAUGACAACCCUGGAAACAGGGCUUCCUUCGGGCAUAGUGACAGGUGCUGCAUGGUCGUCGUCAGUUCGUGCCGUGAGGUGUUCCGUUAAGUCGGGAAACGAACGAAACCCUCGUCGCAUGUUACAAAUUUCAUGCGAGACUGCCCGGGUCAACCGGGAGGAAGGCGGGGAUGACGUCAGAUCAGCAUGGCCCUUAUACCUUGGGCUACACAGGCGCUACAAUGGCCGGUACAAAGGGUUGCAAAACCGCGAGGUGAAGCUAAUCCCAUAAAGCCGGUCCAAGUUCGGAUUGGAGGCUGCAACUCGCCUCCAUGAAGUUGGAAUCGCUAGUAAUCGUGGAUCAGCCAUACCACGGUGAAUACGUUCCCGGAUCUUGUACUCACCGCCCGUCGCACCAAGAGAGUUGGUAGCUCCUGAAGCGUCGCAUUAG